GCUCUUUUAGCUCAGUUGGUUAGAGCACCCGACUCAUAAUCGGUAGGUCUGCAGUUCGAGUCUGAAAAAGAGCACCA
rnacentral:tRNA from 1 species